rnacentral:rRNA from 1 species
UGGGGAAUUUUGCGCAAUGCUCGGGAGAGUGACGCAGCGACGCCGCGUGAAUGAUGAAGGCCUUCGGGUCGUAAAGUUCUUUCGACAGGGAAGAAAGGAUAUAUGAGUAACUGUAUAUAUUUUGACGGUACCUGUAUAAGCAGCCCCGGCUAACUCCGUGCCAGCAGCCGCGGUAAUACGGAGGGGGCGAGCGUUGUUCGGAGUGACUGGGCGUAAAGAGCACGUAGGCGGUGUUGUAAGUCAUUAGUCAAAGGCUAGAGCUCAACUUUAGUAAGGCUAGUGAUACUAUAAUACUAGAGUAUCAGAGAGGAUUGCAGAAUUCCUGGUGUAGCGGUGAAAUGCGUAGAUAUCAGGAGGAAUACC